ACCAAAACGUUAACCCGUAAUAAGACUAGGGUGGAAUUGUACUAUGAGCUGGCUGAGUGUAAAUACAUGGCUCUGCGUGUAAGCACUUUUUCACUGGAAACUUUCUUCUGUUCAAAUUACCGACAGUGCGAAAUAGAGUUGUCUGAGGGCAUCCGGUUUACCAAGAGCUUUGGUCUGCUAGUAACGCUUUAUAUUAGAUUAUUUAUAUAACACUAGACAUCUUUCGUAUUUCAACUUGGCUGCACCUACGGUUAUGUGAACGUUAAAUCAAGUGCAAUACCUGCGUCGACCUGUGGCGAGCAGCAAAACACCGGAAAGAUUCUAGCCUACCGGAAAGUUACAAGAAGAACAAGAAUGGUUACAUCAUCCGGUCAUGUGACAUUUGUUGUUUAUAGAUUUUUCGCCCACGCCAGAUGCCUAGACCCCGGACAGAUAACAGAUGGUAUGGCCUCUGAGGACCCCCAAGACCAACUGGAUGAGGCUAUUAAAAAGGCAGAACGCCUUGCUGAGGAGCUCAACCAAGAGAAGGACCCACAAGCCCAACUGGACGAGGCCAUUAACGAGGCAAAAAGGCUGGCUGAGGAGCUCAACCCAGAGCGGGAAAAUAAGAAGAAAAAGACCAACAAGCCUCCAGGGAUUAGGUUCAGAUGGAGACAAAGGGAUGAGAGAGGACAGAUUGUUCCUCAAAACAGGAAGGCAACUACAUCCACUUCUCUUGAGACAAGGACCAGUGGAUUGGAAUCCACUCCAGUUUUAAACAUUGAAGAAAUAGGUCGUUACAAUGUCACAGUGCCUGUGCUGACCUGCACAACCUGUCUUAGCACCUGGACAGCAAACUUGGCAGAUCUGAUAAAGAAUGGGCGCUGGCCUGCCACUGUCAACUGUGACACCAUAUACCAGGUAGAUCUGUUCAGCUCUUUUGAGGAGCUGAAAGUGUCAGCCCCAGGAAUGUCCCGUCUGGCGUUUAUGCGGAUUUUGGAGCAGCGAACUGACUUCUUUGGCAGGAACGGAAUGACCUUUGGGGACACUUUUCAAAAAAGCUUCUUUGAGUGGAUGUACUGCCGCUCUGAAAUUGAUCAGGUCUGUGAUAUACAGUACUUUGACUGCCCAGCCUGUUCCCCCGGCAUGCUUGCAGUGUCAGUGGACGGGAACAAGAAGCUGUAUCGAUUCAAAAAAGGCAAGAACAGACAUGCUAACCAUCCAGGCCGUGGGGUGGAACAGAAGGAAGAAAAACAACCUGCAGAGUAUUGUCCAGAAGAUACUUUAAGACAACAGCAAAAAUCCAGGAGGAGACCCAGACUCUCAAACUUUAAGAGUGAUUUGGGUGUAGGUGAUGAGACUCUGUACAACUGGACAAUGGAAGUUCAGCAAUGGGCUAAUACAGGUAGAUGCAAGAAAAGACACCUUCUGCACAGAAAGCUAUUGGAAGAAAAAGCCAAAUUGACAGCUGCCAUAGGAGUACAACACCCCUGUACCAGAUUCAGCAAUACCAUCUGCAUCUGAGAUCCUUUCCGCAGACCUUCAUGCAUGGCCUUGGGAGCUGCAUGGACAAACUGACCUACUCAAAGACAAUAGCCUUUGACUGGGUGAUGCUCCUGAGACUGCUGAAAGAGGAGGAGUUAACUAUCCUAAAGGGAGUCAAGCAGCACUGGGAAAGCCUAAAGAGGGAAUCGGAGAAUGUGCUUUGCUUCAGACGUGACAGUUGACCUAAGCAGGAAAAGACCACGGACAGCUACUGUUAGCUAGUGCGGCAGAAAUGCAGGGUUUGCCGUGGCGAGUUCAGAAUCACGGAAGUGGAGACUGGAGUGUGUCACUAACAACAAAAACGAAGACCACAAGAUGAUUUUUGCCUACUGUAAACAUUGGCGUUUCAAAUCUAAUCUGAAUCUGAUUUUCAACCAUCUGACCUACUACUGUCUGAUUCAUAUAGCCUGAAAUUAAACAUAUAUAUUUAAUAACAUAGUAAAAUGAAUCAAUGCGAACAUAAAAUACAAAAAUACUCAAACUUCUGACUACUUUAAUACACAUAAGUGAAUUUAUCACAAUACUUUUGGUCCCCUGGCGGAGCUAUGUACAAAACGUACUGGUUUUUCUAGAUAUGGAUGAAAAUACACUCAAAUUAAAGCUGAUAGUCUGCACUUUUACCUCAUAGUCAUUGUAUAAUUUCAAAUACAAAGUUCUGGAGUACAGAUCCAAAACAACAAAAAAAUGUGUCACUGUUGCAAUACUUUUGUAGCUCACUUUAUAUAAAGAAUAUCUAAAUGCAUAUCCUCAUGAAACUGAUUGAGAUCAAAUGGUUGGCAUGCUGAUGCUCCAUGAAUGUUUCAAUUGUAAACCAUGGUGAAUUUGGCCAACCAUUUAUGAUUGACAGUGAUACAUGUGAAGGGAGAGUAAGGAAUACAUUUGUGCAUAAAGUAGGUUAAACUGGAGAAAUGCGGUCCUCGGCCUUGAUCCAGUCAUCGUCCCAUUUCUUGCCACUGUAAGACAAGAAAGAAAACAUGAGGAAUGUCAUGUUUUUAAGCAGAAAUAGAAAAUAAAUAAUUCAAUAUGUAAUCGUGAGCAAGGGUUGCACCUAUUACUUUCAAAGGGUUUUAUGAUUUUUGGUUAAACCUAGUGCUGCCUUCUCCUCUCAAAUAAUAUUUCAACUACAUAAAGUACCUUGCAGAAGUCUUCAUAACCCUUGGAUUUCGCCACAUUUUGUGUUACAACAUUGGAUUGAAAUUGAUUUAAUUUAUCUUUUUUUGUCACCAAGCAAAUCAAAAUGGUGUACUCUAAUGUCAAAGUGGAAGAACAUUUAGAUUUUUUUAUAAAGGCAUGCCUAAAUUAGUUCACAAGUUAAAUUUGGCUUAACAAAUCACAUAAUGUUAUAUGGACUCAAUAGGGGUUAACAUUAUUUUUGAAUAACUACCCAUACCACUGUACUCCAUACAUAGAAAAUCUGUAAGGUCCCUCAGUCAGGUAUUGAAUUUCAAGCAGCAAGGACCAGGGAGUUUUUUGAAAGCCUCAUAAAGAAGGGCAGUGAUUGGUAGAUGGGUAACAAUAACAAAUCAGACAUUGCAUAUCUCUUUAAGCAUGAUCAAGUUAAUAAUUAUGGUGUGGAUUAUGUAUUAAAUCACCCAGACACAAAGAUAGUCAUCCUUCUGAACUGAGCUGCAGGACAUGAAUGCAACUGCUCAGGGGUGUUACCAUGAUGCCAUUGGUGAUUUUACAGUUAGAAGCUGUCAUGGUAGAAAAACUGAGGAUGGAUCAACAUCAUUGUAGUAACGCCACAAUAGUGACUUUAAUUACAGUGAAAGGAAGACUACAACUAUACAGAAGAGAAAAAACAUCUAAUCAUGCAUCUUGUAUGCAAUAAGGCACUUGAGUUAGUACUGAAAAAAACUGCAAAGGAAUAUACUUUUUGGCCUAAAUGCAAAGCCUGUUUUCCACCAGACAUUGGGAGAGGAAACAACCUUUCAGCAGGAUAAUAACCUACAACACAAUGACAAAUAUACACUGGAGUUGCUUACCAAGAAGACAGUGAAUGUUCCUGAGUUUCCAAGUUCAAGUUUGGACUUAAAUCUGAUUGGAAAUCUAUUGCAAGACUUUGAAAUGGUUGUCUAGACAUAAUCCCCAACAUAUUGACAGAGCUUGAAGAAUUAUAAAAUAAUAAUGGCCUAAUUUUGCACAAUCCUGGUGUGUUAAGCUCUAAAAAUACUUACCCAAGAAGACGCACAGCUGUAAUCACUGUCAAAGGCGUUUCCAAGGGGUCUGACUACUUUUGCAAGGCACCGUAACAUCCAAUACCAAGGUACAGCCAAAAUCAUAUGUAUUUGGAGGGUGAAGCUAAAAUGUGAAAUUUGGAUCUAUACUCCAGAAUUUUGUAUUUUAAAUACAAGGUUUCAUGUACUAUAACUUUAAUACACAUUAAGUGAAUUUGUCCAAAUACUUAUGGCUUCCUCAAAUUGGGGGGACUAUAUACAUAGUGAUUUCCUUUCUAAAUUGUGAAAAGGUGACUUGUACAAUCGCCUCAUAUGAAACAUUUGAUCUCAAAUCCAAAAUGCUCUAGUUUAGAGUCAAAGUGUACAUUUUAGCAUCACUGUCUAAAUACAUAUGGUGUUGGUUGUACAGUACAUCCUCAAUUCAUGCUAGAUUAGUUGAAGUAACAUACCAUCCAGAGCAUGGCUUCCACCUCACUUUCUGCUCCUGACCCUUUAUUAUGAAACAAAUAGAAAUGUCUGUUUUGUUUUAAAGCUGCACUAUGCAGAAAUGGCUCCACAAUGUCAUGGUAGCUAAUAUCAGCUGUUUGAAGCUGUUGUACAAAACCAAAGUAACAAAACUUAAGUACAGGAAGCAUAGAAAUAACGCAAACUGUAGAACAGAUCUACUGCUUCUUAGACUUGCUUUCAAGUAAAAUGAUGAUCUGUAACUAACAUUUCUAUGUGAAUUUGGUCGGGCCACCCAGAAAGUUACAUAUUGCCACUAACUACAAGGUCUAUGCACUGCAAGUUAACUACAAUUGGUGUUGCACUAGGAUUAGCCUGUAAAUACAGUCACAGGAAUUUCAAUGUUCUGCCGAUUUACCUCCUUUGAAGUUCUAUUGGCAAGAAUCUUGAAAAUCGGUUGCCCCGGAUGCACUGGACACUCAAACAAUAAAUGCAUUUAUUUAUUUAAUUACCACCCACCAGAACAUGAAUAAAGUUAACGGGACAAUC